AGCGAACGCUGGCGGCAGGCUUAACACAUGCAAGUCGAACGGGCAUAGCAAUAUGUCAGUGGCAGACGGGUGAGUAACGCGUGGGAACGUACCUUUUGGUUCGGAACAACACAGGGAAACUUGUGCUAAUACCGGAUAAGCCCUUACGGGGAAAGAUUUAUCUCCGAAAGAUCGGCUCGCGUCUGAUUAGCUAGUUGGUAGGGUAAUGGCCUACCAAGGCGUCGAUCAGUAGCUGGGCUGAGAGGAUGAUCAGCCACAUUGGGACUGAGACACGGCCCAAACUCCUACGGAAGGCAGCAGUGGGGAAUAUUGGACAAUGGGCGAAAGCCUGAGCCAGCCAUGCCGCGUGAGUGAUGAAGGACAUAGGGUUGUAAAGCUCUGUUGUGCGGGAAGAUAAUGACGGUACCGCAAGAAUAAGCCCCGGCUAACUUCGUG
rnacentral:rRNA from 1 species